GACGAACGCUGGCGGCGCGCUUAACACAUGCAAGUCGAGCGAAGCGGCGGACGGGUGAGUAACACGUGCGUAACCUGCCUUAGACAUUGGGAUAGCCUCGGGAACCCGGGAUUAAUACCAAAUGGUCUAAGAUGGACUCGGUUCCCAUUAGCGAGUGGGUGAGGUAACGGCCCACCAAGGCCACGAUGGGUAGCCGGCCUGAGAGGGUGAACGGCAACAGUGGAACUGAGAAACUGUACAAACUCUACGGGAGGCAGCAGUGGGGAAUAUUGCACAAUGGAGGGAACUCUGAUGCAGCGACGCCGCGUGAACGAAGAAUGCUUUCGAGUCGUAAAGUUCUUUUAUAUGGGAAGCGGUACCAUAAGAAAAAGCCCCGGCUAACUACGUGCCAGCAGCCGCGGUAAUU
rnacentral:rRNA from 1 species